ACAUGUGCUUGCCUGCUGGCGAGGGCAACUCUGCAUGUGUGAAUUGCAUUGCUUGUUUUCUUUGGUGCAUUUUUUAAGAAUCUGAUUGGUGUACAUGUGCAUUCUUCACGACAUGAGUUCUUAACUUGUUGUGCAGGUGCUAAGCGAAGAUAUUAUUAUGUGUUUUUUGCAGGGAAGGAUCGUGAUUUACCCAAGAUAUUUUGGAGGGCAAUCACUGUGUCCUGGGUAGCAACCAUUUUGUUUAAACAUUGGUCUAGGUUCAGUGCUAAAAGGACCAUGCAGACUGCAGUGGGUGUUUUUGGUGGUAAAAAUUAUACUAAUGGAACAUUUCAUUACGUGCACCUUCACUAACUGUGGGCUCAGGGUGUACAAUCUGAACCAUCAAUUUGCUAUUUUUCCUCCAUAAACUGAAUUUCAAAAUAUUUUAUUAUGGAUAUAUUUAAUUGGGAUAAUACAAGCAUGUCUGAAAUCUGAGCAACUGAAUCUCUAGCUCUUCUGAAAAGCUGCUGCUAUUCACUCUUUGGGAUGGUUUGACAAGGCACAUCACAAGCAAAUAUUGGAGGAGCUACUACUUAAGCCUCGAGGAUUCAGAAGACACGGUUAUCACUUUAAUAGAACCUGAAAAAGAGUUCACAGAAGGAUGGAGGUGUGACAGUUCCAGAGAGAGAGUCUGCUUUGGAGGAGGCUGGUGCAAUGGAUGCGGUCUUGGUGAAUACACAUCAGUUCUACAGGUGGUUUGCAAAACUAGAGUCGGCUGUGAAAUCUGAGUUUUGUUUAAUGUCACUAUUUCUCUUGGCGACAGAAAGAUUAUGAUAACAUUGUUUGCUCACUCUGGAGACAUUGUUUAUUGACAGACAGAGGAGAAGUAUCGCCUCUAUGAGAAUACAUUAGAGGAGCGUGUCAACACAUGUGACAGCAUCUUGAAGCAAUUAAGGCUGCAAUUUUUUUUUGUUUCUUUAUGUUUAAAAAAAUCUGUACAGACGUAUACACCUUUGCCCUUUCAGUUUUAACCUUUUAAAGUGCAUCUCUACAGGUUGAUGAUACAUUGAACUUGUUUGAAGAACUACAGUCCUUGCACUCAAGUGUUGCCACGAAGACUAAAACUUUGCAUGAUGCUUGCGGCCAACUGGGAGCAUGUUUAUGUAGCCAUUCUGAUCAUUUCAUUAUGUUUGUGGAGAAAUAGGGGGCUACUUUUGUGCAAAGCUGAGCAAAUUCGUAGGAGAAUCUGAUGGAGCUGAUGAUCUUGGUCCCGUUGCAAAUAUUAUGGGAUCCUCAAUGAAGCGAACUAAUAUCAAAAUUUAAUUUGGAGGCAUUUAUGGAAUCAGAGUUUUAGUUUGGUAUUAUCUGAUUUAAUCUCGGCGCAUUCGAUGAUGCUACCAAUAUUGUUUGCAUAUCACUAUGACAGUAUCGAGUUUGCACCAUAUCCUGAUUUGGCAUCAUAAGGAUGCUGUUAGAAGUGAGAUAUUGAAUGGAAUAUUUGGUGGCAAAAAUAAUUGAGGUGUGGCGACCUGCUCACCCUUCCGGCCCAGUUCCGCGCUGCGGUACCGAAUGGACAACGCCAUUUGGUGAAGAUGACCCUUGGUAUGGAACCUCUCAUAUUUAACGGUCAUGUAUGUUAACUCACAUGCGGUGCUAAUUUUUAUUUACUGGCGAAGUGGCUAAUUUGUAAAAUUAUGAUUGUGAUUUCACUAUUUCACAACUGUUCAUGUUGGACUCAUGGUAUCUUGAAAAAGUAGCAUAGCUGCUGGCGAAAAUCAAGUUUUAAUUGUGA